GUGAUUCUGAUGUCUACUAAAGUUUGAGAAACAGUGUGUAGAUAAUAGGAAUUUGGGUUCUAUAGUCAGGCUUCCUUUUUGAGCAGGCAGCUUAAGCUCACUGCACCUGGUUUUCACAUCUGUAGAGUGGGAAUAACGAUAAUACUUAGAUUAUAAAGUUAGAGUAAUCCAUGUUGGCUAUUCUGUGCUGCUGGAGCUGGAUCAGGGAGUUGACCCUGAGAUUAUAGUGGGAGAAGCUGAGGUUCAAAUGCCAGGAGAGCAUGGGUAGGUGCUAAAUCUGGAGGUGUCGAAGAUAGGGAUAGAAGCAAGGUUUAUGAUAAGUGAGACAAGAGUGAGAGAAAGCAGUUUGGGAUCAGCUGGGGAAAGGGAGUGCCCUGAGAACUUGCCCUAGUGGGCCAGUGGGAGUUUGAGUUAUGAGAAGGAGUUAAUUUUAUGUCAUGAGCUGACUCAACACCUUCACCACUGCAUCCUAGAUGAAGACAGGUGGGGCUAACAGGAUGAAAUUCCAAGGGACCAAAGUCUGGAUAACUUCUUCCCCUGAGGCAGUAGAAGAAUCUGCUGAUGGAGAGACGGCAGAAUUGGAACCACAGGAGAGCUCUGAGAAACAACCACAGCUUACCGUGGGUUGUGGAUAAACACAGCACGCUGAACACCAUAUAUACCUGUGCAAUGAAAUGAUCGAGAGACUGACGGGCAGGUUCCAAGAAAAGCUUAAAUGAAUUAGAGGUGGAGAGCUUGACAAGGACUUUGGACAGGAAAGCAUGCAACCAGGCACAUAUAUUUUGUAUUAGCCCUGGGGCCUGCACAGAGACUAUGGUGGUCGGGGUGUGAUAAACACCAAGGGACUUAACAAUUAGAAGCUCACUGAGAAUCAGAUUCUCCACACUGCAAAAAGUCUACAAGAAACUGCAGGAAAAAUCACGAUCAUCCAGAUCCUGAGAAAGGGAAUAAUAUGAUUCAAGCCUUCCAUGCACUGUUUGAAAAUCUUACCCCAUUCCCUACCGUUUAACAUCAAGAGUUUACUCGAAGGUGAACCAAACAACUGUGUGUAGACCACUGAGCCAAAAAGCCUGUUUAAAUAAUAGAGUCUUGUGCAAACAGCGAUCUUUUUAUUUGAGAAUAAUAAAAUGAUUUUGUC
rnacentral:lncRNA from 1 species